GCAAUCAGUCAUCAGAAUUCAUCGAUAUGUAACCAUGAUCGAAAAAUCCCAACCAGUGGGACUCUUGACCCCGGUAUCCAUAAUGUGUGGAACUCGUGAUCAGAGAAUCCUGAUUCUCGAUCACUGAGUCUCAAAUAUGUAGGAUUCUACAUCAGCCAUCAGAUCAGAUAGGAACCUCUAAUGUGUAUGACCCUGCAGGUUCGAACCUA
rnacentral:lncRNA from 1 species